GCAGCUCAAAAGGCUGAGGCAGGAGGAUCUGGAGUUCAAGGCCAGCCUCAGAAAAAGUGAAGUGCUAAACAACUCAUACCCUGUCUCUAAAUAAAAUACAAAAUAGGGCUGGUGAUGUGGUUGAGUGCCCCUAAAUUCAAUCCCUGGUACCUUCCCCCCCAAAAAAAUAAGGUGGAGGUGGCAGCAGGAGCCCCAGCAGCCAUGCUACCAUCUUAGGCUCAGAGGAUAUCAUAUUAGACAUUUUACACCCAUCUUCUCCCAGGCAUUUAUUACGUUUAUGUUACAAAAAAAAAAAAGUAACCUUAACUUGCUGGAGGCCAUGUGGGCAUGAUUUGAAUACAAGCCUGGAGCACCUGCUUGAAUACCCACCCUGCCACCAUGCCAGGGAGCUUCCAAGCCAACUAUUCCAGCUGACUCAAAUCCUUAGAAUGGCAAAAUCGAUCACUUAUCCUCUGUGUCAGAUGAACCUCUUUGCCAUGGAACAUGUCCUUGAGAGCUUGAGGAUAGUCGCUGCAUCUUAUCAAGUCGUUUUUUCUCUUAGAUAAAUCCUCAGUGGUUUUCCUUCAACACGGUUUCGAGACUUCCAUUGUCCACUCGAUUUGAGUUGUCAGCAUUCUUCAAAUGCAGGGGCUUGAAAAUCUGCAGGUGCCAGCCCGGUGCUUGUGGCUAACAGUUUAGACCCAGAGUAAAGAUUUUUGGGUUUAAAUCCUUGCUGCACCACAGGCCAGCAGUGUGACCAUGUUAAUCCCUAUCUCUCUGAGCCCUUAUGUCUUCUCCCGAGUCAUGAGGAUUGUGCGAACCCUCAUUUUCUGCCAUACAACCCUUUCAGGUGGGCUCAGCCUGGCUUGGUGACAGACAGGCAAGGGAGAACAAACAGCAAGCUGUCACAGUGCUAACAAGCUGGACAGAUGACCAGAACCAUUAGGAGAAGGGGUUCCUCUCCCAGGGACUUUGGGUCCUUGGUAGAGAGGGUCAGGCUAUUGGGAGACAUAAACACCCACUGAGAUGCCUGACUCAGAU
rnacentral:lncRNA from 1 species